UACGGAGGGUGCAAGCGUUACUCGGAAUUACUGGGCGUAAAGCGCACGCAGGUGGCUGAGUCAGUCGAUUGUGAAAGCCCUGGGCUUAACCUGGGAAUUGCAGUCGAUACUACUCAGCUAGAGUAUGGGAGAGGGUAGUGGAAUUCCCGGUGUAGCGGUGAAAUGCGUAGAUAUCGGGAGGAACAUCAGUGGCGAAGGCGGCUACCUGGCCCAAUACUGACGCUGAGGCACGAAAGCGUGGGGAGCAAACAGG
rnacentral:rRNA from 1 species